rnacentral:rRNA from 1 species
AGUGAACGCUGGCGGUAGGCCUAACACAUGCAAGUCGAACGGCAGCACAGUAAGAGCUUGCUCUUACGGGUGGCGAGUGGCGGACGGGUGAGGAAUACAUCGGAAUCUACUUUUUCGUGGGGGAUAACGUAGGGAAACUUACGCUAAUACCGCAUACGACCUACGGGUGAAAGCAGGGGAUCUUCGGACCUUGCGCGAUUGAAUGAGCCGAUGUCGGAUUAGCUAGUUGGCGGGGUAAAGGCCCACCAAGGCGACGAUCCGUAGCUGGUCUGAGAGGAUGAUCAGCCACACUGGAACUGAGACACGGUCCAGACUCCUACGGGAGGCAGCAGUGGGGAAUAUUGGACAAUGGGCGCAAGCCUGAUCCAGCCAUACCGCGUGGGUGAAGAAGGCCUUCGGGUUGUAAAGCCCUUUUGUUGGGAAAGAAAAGCAGCAGGUUAAUACCCCGCUGUUCUGACGGUACCCCAAGAAUAAGCACCGGCUAACUUCGUG